AACGUACGCUGGCGGCACGCCUAACACAUGCAAGUCGAACGCAGUAGCAAUACUGAGUGGCAGACGGGUGAGUAACAUGUGGGAAUCUGCCUUGUGGUUCAGGACAACAUUGGGAAACCGAUGCUAAUACUGGAUAAGCCCUUACGGGGAAAGUUUUAAUGCCAUAAGAUGAGCCCGCAUUUGAUUAGUUAGUUGGUGAGGUAAUGGCUCACCAAGACAAUGAUCAAUAGCUGAUCUGAGAGGAUGAUCAGCCACACUGGGACUGAGACACGGCCCAGACUCCUACGGGAGGCAGCAGUGGGGAAUCUUGCACAAUGGAGGAAACUCUGAUGCAGCGAUGCCGCGUGAGUGAAGAAGGUCCUUGGGUUGUAAAGCUCUCUUGUACNGGAAGAUAAUGACUGUACCCUAAGAUAAG
rnacentral:rRNA from 1 species